rnacentral:rRNA from 1 species
AAUGAACGCUGGCGGCGUGCCUAACACAUGCAAGUCGUACGAGAAAGUCCUUCGGGGCGAGUAAAGUGGCGCACGGGUGAGUAACGCGUAGGCAACCCACCCCCGGGACCGGGAUAACAGCGCGAAAGUGCUGCUAAUACCGGAUACGACCUUUCGGCGGGAGCCGGCAGGUGAAAGUCGGCCUCUCGAAGAAGCCGGUGUUCGGGGACGGGUCUGCGUCCUAUCAGCUUGUUGGCGGGGUAACGGCCCACCAAGGCGACGACGGGUAGCUGGUCUGAGAGGAUGAUCAGCCACACUGGCACUGAAACACGGGCCAGACUCCUACGGGAGGCAGCAGUGAGGAAUUUUGCGCAAUGGGAGCAAUCCUGACGCAGCAACGCCGCGUGGGUGAUGAAGGCCUUCGGGUCGUAAAGCCCUGUCGGGCGGGAAGAACGGCUUCGGGGCGAACAGUUCCGGGGCGUGACGGUACCGCCAGAGGAAGCACCGGCUAACUCCGUGCCAGCCGCCGCGGUAACAC